CACCUACGGGAGGCAGCAGUGAGGAAUAUUGGUCAAUGGGCGCGAGCCUGAACCAGCCAAGUAGCGUGAAGGAUGACUGCCAUACGGGUUGUAAACUUCUUUUAUAAAGGAAUAAAGAGAGGCACGUGUGCCUUUUUGUAUGUACUUUAUGAAUAAGGAUCGGCUAACUCCGUGCCAGCAGCCGCGGUAAUACGGAGGAUCCGCGCGUUAUCCGGAUUUAUUGGGUUUAAAGGGAGCGUAGAUGGGUUGUUAAGUCAGUUGUGAAAGUGUGCGGCUCAACCGUAAAGUUGCAAUAUAUACUGUCA
rnacentral:rRNA from 1 species